GCUUGUGUGGUGGAAUAGGCAGACGCAAGGGACUUAAAAUCCCUCGGUAGAGAUACCGUGCCGGUUCAAGUCCGGCCACAAGCACCA
rnacentral:tRNA from 1 species